AAGUCGUAACAAGGUUUCCGUAGGUGAACCCGCGGAAGGAUCAUUAUUGAAUAAACAUGAUAGGCUGUUGCUGGCUCUUUAGAGGAGCAAGUGCACGCUUGUCGUCUUUAUUUUAUCCACCAUGUGCACUGUUUGUAGAUCCUAGAGAAACAAUUAUCUGACAAUUCAGAUAGGUUGAGGACUGCUGUGUCUUUCAAAGCCAGCUUUGCCUUAUGUCUCUAGGCUCUAUGUCACUCACAUACACCUUAUGAAUGUAAUAGAAUGUUGACCUGGGUCUUUCAGUACCCAUAAAAAGUUUUAAUAUACAACUUUCAGCAACGGAUCUCUUGGCUCUCGCAUCGAUGAAGAACGCAGCGAAAUGCGAUAAGUAGUGUGAAUUGCAGAAUUCAGUGAAUCAUCGAAUCUUUGAACGCAUCUUGCGCUCCUUGGUAUUCCGAGGAGCAUGCCUGUUUGAGUGUCAUCAAAUUCUCAACCACGCCGUGAGGUCGUGGCUUGGAUUUGGGGGUCACAGGCUCUGAACUUGUGGUCUGCUCCCCUGAAAUACAUGAGCGGUGAACGACCCUCUCCGUCGAGAUGUGAUACAUAUCUGCAUCCAGUUGAGGGUUUUGCUGCUGCGAGAGUUGGAUUUGAUAAACUUGACCUCAAAUCAGGUAGGACCACCCGCUGAACUUAAGCAUAUCAAUAAGCGGAGGAAAAGAAACUAACCAGGAUUCCCUUAGUAACUGCGAGUGAAGUGGGAAGAGCUCAAAUUUGUAAUCUGGUGGCCUUUGGCCGUCCGAGUUGUAAUCUAAAGAA
rnacentral:misc_RNA from 1 species